UAUCACUCAGCGCUACAUAGUGGAAAUUUACCCGAUGGCGAGUGUCAAAACCGCCAUCCUGUAAAUUUCAGCUAUGCUAGCGUGUACUUUGUUGUCUGCUGGUUAGCAUCAAUUUUGAUUGUCAUAAAAAGGUUAAGGGGAUGUGGCUCCUUCGGGAGUGUUAUAACCCUUAGCGGAAUGUGGCGAUCGGGAUUGAGGUUUGCAACGAAUACCUUUAGGGCAGUUCCGUCUGGUCUCUUGUUGACGUUCAGAUAGCAACAGCUUGCUUUUGUUGUUUGAAUUAGUUAGCAAAUAGAUUAGAAUGUGAAUUAAUUCGUUAAGGAUGCUGACGUA
rnacentral:rRNA from 1 species